AAAAAUGUGGACUGAUUUGCGUAGUAUAUUCUUAAUGAGAAUAUAACAGGAGAUUGCAACCACAGUAAAAAAGUGCUAAAACCAUCAUA
rfam:Sphingobacterium sp. IITKGP-BTPF85 Sphingobacterium_sp_IITKGP-BTPF85_Contig_00032, whole genome shotgun sequence.